rnacentral:rRNA from 1 species
UACGGAGGAUGCAAGCGUUCUCCGGAAUGAUUGGGCGUAAAGCGUCCGCAGGUGGCUGUGUAAGUCUGCUGUCACAGAGCGAAGCUCAACUUCGUAAAGGCAGUGGAAACUACACGGCUAGAGUGCGUUCGGGGCAGAGGGAAUUCCUGGUGUAGCGGUGAAAUGCGUAGAGAUCAGGAAGAACACCGGUGGCGAAGGCGCUCUGCUAGGCCGCAACUGACACUGAGGGACGAAAGCUAGGGGAGCGAAUGGG